rnacentral:rRNA from 1 species
CCUACGGGUGGUUGCAGUGGGGAAUAUUGGACAAUGGGGGGAACCCUGAUCCAGCCAUGCCGCGUGUGUGAAGAAGGCCCUCGGGUUGUAAAGCACUUUCAGUGAGGAAGAACGCCUGGUGGUUAAUACCCAUCAGGAAAGACAUCACUCACAGAAGAAGCACCGGCUAACUCCGUGCCAGCAGCCGCGGUAAUACGGAGGGUGCGAGCGUUAAUCGGAAUUACUGGGCGUAAAGCGCGCGUAGGUGGCUUGAUAAGCCGGUUGUGAAAGCCCCGGGCUCAACCUGGGAACGGCAUCCGGAACUGUCAAGCUAGAGUGCAGGAGAGGAAGGUAGAAUUCCCGGUGUAGCGGUGAAAUGCGUAGAGAUCGGGAGGAAUACCAGUGGCGAAGGCGGCCUUCUGGACUGACACUGACACUGAGGUGCGAAAGCGUGGGUAGCAAACAGGAUUAGAUACCCCAGUAGUC